rnacentral:rRNA from 1 species
AGAGUUUGAUCAUGGCUCAGAAUCAACGCUGGCGGCGUGCCUAACACAUGCAAGUCGAACGCGAAAGGGGCUUCGGCCCUGAGUAGAGUGGCAAACGGGUGAGUAACGCGUGGGUGACCUACCUUCGAGUGGGGGAUAACGUUCCGAAAGGAGCGCUAAUACCGCAUGAAGUUCCGGGUUUGAACAUCUGGAAACCAAAGCCGGGGAUCGCAAGACCUGGCGCUUGGAGAGGGGCCCGCGUCUGAUUAGCUAGUUGGCGGGGUAAUGGCCCACCAAGGCGACGAUCAGUAGCCGGCCUGAGAGGGCGGACGGCCACACUGGGACUGAGACACGGCCCAGACUCCUACGGGAGGCAGCAGUGGGGAAUUGUUCGCAAUGGGCGCAAGCCUGACGACGCAACGCCGCGUGGGGGAUGAAGGUCUUCGGAUUGUAAACCCCUGUCGAGCGGGACGAACGGCCCGCGACCUAACACGUCGUGGGAGUGACGGUACCGCUAAAGGAAGCCACGGCUAACUCUGUGCCAGCAGCCGCGGUAAUACAGAGGUGGCAAGCGUUGUUCGGAAUUACUGGGCGUAAAGGGCGCGUAGGCGGCCAUCUAAGUCAGACGUGAAAUCCCCCGGCUUAACCUGGGAACUGCGUCUGAUACUGGACGGCUUGAGUGCGGGAGAGGGAUGUGGAAUUCCAGGUGUAGCGGUGAAAU